UCUCUCUCUCUCUCUCUCUCUCUCUCUCUCUCUCUCUCUCUCUCUCUCUCUCUCUCUCUCUCUCUCUCUCUCUCUCUCUCUCUCUCUCUCUCUCUCUCUCUCUCUCUCUCUCUCUCUCUCUCUCUCUCUCCUCUCUCUCUCUCUCUCUCUCUCUCUCUCUCUCUCUCUCUCUCUCUCUCUCUCUCUCUCUCUCUCUCCAUUCUUAAUCAGACACGAGUAUUCGAUAUAUUUUGAAAAUGAAAUAAAGGAUGUGGAAAUGAGUAUUAGUUGAAUUCGUGUAAAUAGUAUGAAGUAUGGAAAAGAAAGACGACGAGUCGAUUUCGUUGAUUCUAAAUUGUACAUCUCAAAUAUGUUUAACGAUUUUUUUUUUAAAUGAGAACUAACGAAAUAUUGAUAACUCAAAAUGAUAUAAUCAAGAAAAAGAUUAUUUCGAUGUAAUACUACACUUUACAUUACGUUUACUUGGGAUGUUACAACUCGAUGUUACAAUUAAUUCAGGCGAAUAAUGCGUUUAUUGCAUUUAAUUAUACGUAUACAAACGCUAGUAAUAAAACAAUGUUUAGAAAUAGAUUUUUUUUUUUUUUUGAGAUAUUGAACGAUCAUAAUUACAAUUUUUUCUCUGCUUUACACAAGCCGAUUUUAUUACAAGAUAAGAAUUGACGAAAAUUUAUUUCAUCAAUUCGCUUCGUAAAAAUGAUAACUCGAUUUUUUUCUUUUUAUUCGUUCAUUCAUUCUUUCAUUUAUUCAUUCAUUCAUUCAUUCAUUCAUUCAUUCAUUCAUUCAUUCAUUUAUUUAUAUUUCUCUGUCUUAAUUUUGGAUUUAUUUAAAAUUUUCUUUCUGUUUUCUUAUUUAUUUUUCUUUUUACAUUUUUUCCGAACGAAACAAAUUGAUUACGAUGCAAUUACGAUUUUAAUUGUCGUGCUUUAGGAUAGAUUUAUAUACGACACGUGUCUCAAAUAUCGAAAUAAGCGUGUGCAUAUGCAACGAUUGAAACCAGAAUUUAAUGAAAACUAGACGUCUUCUAUACGUUGAUAUUUUAUAAUUUCAUCUAUUUAAAUCUCGAUAAGUAUAGAUUAAAUCUCGAUUUCUUUCAAGAAACAUCUUACAAGAUCUCUUCUUUAUAAUCGCAAUUAUUGAUUUGAAAAUUACGCUUUGUCUUUUUUAUUUUCUUUAUUUAGAAUAUUCCCUUUGAAGUAUUUUAUUUUAAAUUAAAACGGAAAUAAGAAUUUUUCUGUAUGUGUAUUACACGUUGUGUCAAGGUGAGUCGGAGAUAUCAGGUAUCAUUUUUAAACGUUAUCAUACAUCAUACAUGAAGAACAUUGGUUUAUUGCAUUGUCAUUACAUGAGAAAAUUUUCACCUUAGAAUGGAAACCACGUGUGUACCAUUGUUUAUUCGUUUAAGUUCCUUUUCUUUUAAAAGCAAUUUAUUUUCUAUUGUUUCUCUUUUUUUUCUAUUCUUUUUUCUCUUUUUUUUUUUUUUUUUAUUUUUCACGUCCUCCCUUCGAUCGUGAUUGGAUAUAUAUUCGGAAGUACGUAAGUUCAUUCAAAAAGAGAAAAUGUACGUUAUUUGUUUUCGAUCUUCCAUAAUAAAGUACUUCGAAAAUCACGGACUGAAUACAAGGUGCAACUAUCGAUAUCGCGUACAUAGAAAAAAAUAAAAUAAAAUGUGAAAAAUAAUGAAUAAAGUAGAUGGGACAUUUUAAUAAAUAAACGUACGUAACAUAGUUAUAUGGAUAUUCAUUAAAUAUUUUUCUUUUUUUAGUUAAGAAAAAAUUAUGACAAAGUCGACAUCGAUUAAUCCUGCUUUAUACACAUACAAAAAGUAUUUUGUAAUAAGAAAGCUGAUGCAUUUUAUAUUCAAAUCAGAAAGACAUUAGUUAAUCUAUGAAUAACUAAUCUACUUUUUUGCCUUGAUCUCUACGUCAUUAAAGAUCAAGGAUUUAUAAUAAGAAGUCGUGGCGAAUAAAUUGAAUAAUUAAUACUGGCUGAAUAAAACGUGAAUGGUGUAUUAAAUGUGAGCAAAAAAUAAUAUAAAACCUUAUUAACAGAGUUACGAACAUUUUUUUAUAUUUGACUAAUUUGAAAAUUGAUGGCCUAUUUGUUUUCUCUCUGUUUUUUUUUUUUUUUUUUUUUCAAGCUUCAGUUUAGCAUCAUCGAUAUUCGACGAAAAAAAAAAAAAGAUUAUCUAUCGAAGUAGAUAUAUUUAGUACAAUCAUUCAUAGAAUUAAAAAAAUAAUCUUAGAUUUUUGUAAAAAAAAAAAAAAGAAAAAGAAAAAGAAAAAAAAAGGAAAGAGAAACGUUUCCCACACAAAAUAUCGACAUCAACCAAACUGUACCGAUGAGAUGAAACAUGAUUCAAAAUGUCGUGAUACAAAUAGAGAAAAAAAAAAGAAAAAGAUGUUGAACAUAACAGGAAGAAAAGAAUUUAUUUCCUUUGCUCGCAUAAAACUUCUCUAGAGAGAUCAAAUAAAUUCAAAAAUGUUGAAUGUUCUUCGUGAAAUCACUUAUCACGUCUAACACAUCAAAUCCAAUCGUCUUGUUUCGACGUACAACCGUACUGUUCUCUUAAACCCGACGUAUUCGCCAUUAUCUUCUUCUUCUUCUACUUCUUCUUCUUUUCUUCUUCUUCUUCUUCAAAACUUUCUUCAGACUCUUGAACUAUAAAAUCUGAAAAAUUUUCAUCCGAAGAUGUAUCUUCAGUAAGGGAAAUGUUUACGUUCGAGUUUGUUCCAAACUUUUAACACGGUCUUCUUACUUUUUUGUCGUCUGAAACGUUUUCUACGUUUUUUUAAUUUAUUGAACUACGCUUAAUCACGUAUUCAAGAUUGAAUUAAUUUUAUUCGCCAUUGCGUUUGAUCUUUCUAUUGUGAGAGUUUUUUUUUAUUAAUUUUUUACGAAGAAACAGGUGAGACUGGUUCUGAUUUUUAUUUAUUUAUUUAUUUUUUUUUAAAUAAUUACGUAAGGCACACAAGUGUUGUUCUGGUUCUUGUUUUUCAUUUGAGAAAGUCAUAAUAUACAUAAGUAUAUAAUAUACUUAGAUCAUUAAAAAUAAUUAAUAUAAGAAAUAAAAAUCUAUUGUAUAAUCUCCGUGAACGAUCGGGCUUACGUCGCAAACACUGUAAAUAAUGUAUAAGUUUACGAUCAAUUCUUCUUACAAAAAAAGAUCCUGAGAAUCAGAAAGUGAUGAUUCAUUGUGUUUUUUCAAUCAAAUUACAAUGAUAUUAAACCAUCCUAUUCAUGAAGUCAUUAUUUUUUAAUAAGUUCAUAACAAAUUAUGAUUCAACAAAAAUGAUCCAGAUCGUUUUUAAUAGUAUUUAAUUUAAAAUAUCACAAAUAAUUUAUCUAAUUUUUAAUUGAAAAAAAGAAAGGAAAACAGAUAAAAAGUAAAAUUAUAAAAAAUAUUUGUUAAUGAAUAUUAUUAAAAAUUGCCAGUUCUACCGGCAAAACACUUGAUAAUUUGUUUCAUAUUUACAAAGUUUGAGAUCGGGUCGUGUAACCCUCAAAGCUGUAAUAUCCGCAAUUAUACUGUAUCCAAAAAAAAAUAUAUAAAUAUAUAUAUAUAUCGUUUUUUCUUACAAUAAUAACAAGUAUUUGAUUAAAAUAUUAGUUUCAUAUUAGAAGUUGAUUAUAAAAUAAACAACUAAGAUAAUCGACUAAGUAUAUCCUGAUUAAUAAUAAAUAAUUUCAACUCAUUAGAAGCGACAUACAAAUAUAUAGAAUGUCUCCACAUUUAUCAUUCAUAGCAUUGUCUCACAAAAUUUUAUUCAUGUAUGUUAAUAAGAAUUCUAUUUUCUGGAAUUGAGCGAGCUUCUAUAAAAUUGUUUUUAUUUUCAUUCGUUUCAAAUGCAUUUACUUCGUUACGGUGUUCACUUCCUUUUAAUUACUCCGAUAGAUAAGUGACUUCUUAUUACAGUUGUCCUGAACUAUCCUGUAGUGAGAUUGAAUAAAGUGGUGAAUUUUUUGCUCAGUCUAAAAUGGAACUAUUGAGUAAAUUCUUUGAUUUUAUCUUUUCAGUCGGAGAUCCACGACUUAAAGAUAAUAUAUUAUUUAAACCAUCGGUAAUCGGUUCUAUUCUUUUUUCAUAUCUUUAUUUCGUCCUUGUGUGUGGUUCGCGAUUUAUGAAAAAUAGGCAGCCGUAUUCGUUGAAGACGUUUGUAAGAUAUUACGAUGUAUUUCAAAUUGUGUUGAACAAUUUUAUUGUGAGGUUGAUUUAUCACGAUUUCGAUAUAUUGCGAAGCUGUAAGGAUAGGUACAAAUCCUGUUAGUAUGGAGGUAACAUUUGAGAUUUGUUUCAAACGAUUUAUUUCAAACGUUUAUUUAUGUUAAUAUAUAGAAAAUAAAAUGAUGUGCAAUGGUAAGAUAAUGAUGGUUAACAAGUGUUCUU